GUUGGGUUCUCAGACAGCUGAGUUUAGGUCGUUCUUGAUGAUGAGGUCUAAAAUAAACAUGUUGUUUAAAGUAAUUUUGCUCUGGACUCUUAUCUACAUCCAAGAAUGCAGAGGCCAGUACACAGUGACUCAGACUCCAGUAUUACCUGCUGUUCUUGGACAAACAGUCUCCCUGAACUGUAAAGUCAGCAGUAAUGUCUUUAACAACAACUAUCUGCACUGGUACCAUCAGGUAUCUGGAGAGCCUCCUAAACUCCUGAUUUACUAUACCAGCACUCUCCAGUCAGGCACUCCAUCUCGAUUCAGUGGCAGUGGAUCUGGAAGUGCUUUCACUCUGACCAUCAGUGGAGUCCAGACUGAAGAUGCAGGAGAUUACUACUGUCAGAGUGCCCACCACACUGGCAGUGUGUGGGUGUUCACACAGUGA